CCUACGGGUGGCAGCAGUGGGGAAUAUUGCACAAUGGGGGAAACCCUGAUGCAGCGACGCCGCGUGAGUGAAGAAGGAAUUCGUUAUGUAAAGCUCUAUUAGCAGGGAAGAAAAUAACGGUACAUGUGUUAGAUGACCCGGCUAACUACGUGCCAGCAGCCGCGGUAAUACGUAGGGGGCAAGCGUUAUCCGGAUUUACUGGGUGUAAAGGGAGCGUAGACGGGAGUGCAAGUCUGGUGUGAAAGGCCGGGGCUCAACCCCCGGACUGCACUUGAAACUGUGUGGCUGGAGUGCAGGAGAGGUAAGCGGAAUUCCUAGUGUAGCGGUGAAAUGCGUAGAUAUAAGGAGGAACACCAGUGGCGAAGGCGGCUUACUGGACUGUAACUGACGUUGAGGCUCGAAAGCGUGGGGAGCAAACAGGAUUAGAUACCCUAGUAGUC
rnacentral:rRNA from 1 species